CACGUAGGGGGCAAGCGUUGUCCGGAUUUAUUGGGCGUAAAGAGCUCGUAGGCGGCUUAGUAAGUCGGGUGUGAAACCUCCAGGCUCAACCUGGAGACGCCACCCGAUACUGCUGUGGCUAGAGUCCGGUAGGGGAGCGUGGAAUUCCUGGUGUAGCGGUGAAAUGCACAGAUAUCAGGAGGAACACCGAUGGCGAAGGCAGGUCUCUGGGCUGACACUGACGCUCAUGCACGAAAGCGUGGGGAGCAAACAGG
rnacentral:rRNA from 1 species